UGAGGAAUAUUGGUCAAUGGGCGAGAGCCUGAACCAGCCAAGCAGCGUGCAGGAUGACGGCCCUAUGGGUUGUAAACUGCUUUUAUGUGGGGAUAAAGUGAGCUACGUGUAGUUUAUUGCAGGUACCACAUGAAUAAGGACAGGCUAAUUCCGUGCCAGCAGCCGCGGUAAUACGGAAGGUUCGGGCGUUAUCCGGAUUUAUUGGGUUUAAAGGGAGCGUAGGCCGGAGAUUAAGUGUGUUGUGAAAUGUAGACGCUCAACGUCUGACUUGCAGCGCAUACUGGUUUCCUUGAGUACGCACAACGUUGGCGGAAUUCGUCGUGUAGCGGUGAAAUGCUUAGAUAUGACGAAGAACUCCGAUUGCGAAGGCAGCUGACGGGAGCGCAACUGACGCUGAAGCUCGAAGGUGCGGGUAUCGAACAGGAUUAGAUACCCUGGUAGUCCGCACAGUAAACGAUGGAUGCCCGCUGUUGGUACCUAGUAUCAGCGGCUAAAGCGAAAAGCAUUAAGCAUCCCACCUGGGGAGUACGCCGGCAACGGUG
rnacentral:rRNA from 1 species